GACGGAGGGUGCAAGCGUUGUUCGGAAUUACUGGGCGUAAAGCGUACGUAGGCGGUAGAUUAAGUCGAAUGUUAAAGCCUGAGGCUCAACCUCAGAGAUGCAUUCGAUACUGGUUUACUAGAGGGUGAUAGAGGAAAGCGGAAUUCCGAGUGUAGCGGUGAAAUGCGUAGAUAUUCGGAGGAACAUCAGUAGCGAAGGCGGCUUUCUGGGUCACACCUGACGCUGAGGUACGAAAGCGUGGGGAGCAAACGGG
rnacentral:rRNA from 1 species